CUCAACAGUUCGACUGCUAGGAGUGUAACCCUUUCGUAUGGUUUUUCCUAUUCGGCUGUUUACACCAUUCGUAUGUUUGAGAGCAUUUGUAUGCUUCUCCAGUUCGGUGGAUUGGUGGCUACAGUAGCUCCCUGUAUAUCUGGAAGGGAAUAUCUCCUAAACAGCUGUUUAACCCCUUUUAUGCCUGGGGGUGCCGUUACAGUUACUAUUAGGACUAUUAGUGUUAAUAUAAAAAUUACUCAUACUGUGUUUCCCCAAAAAUAAGACCGGGUCUUGGAUUAAUUUUUGCUCAAAAAUACUCACUAUUUUCAGGGGAUGUCAUAUUUUUAGGGGAUGUCUUUUAUAUAUUACAGGUGGUCCUCACUUACCGACUGGGUUCUGAUCUUAGGACAAUGUCGUAAAGCUAAUUUGCUGGUAAGUAAGCAUGUGCAAGAAAGCAGGUCUACGUUCGGGGGAAUUCAGUUCACUAGUGCAUGGAAUUCCGCAAAUCUAUAUUAGAUGGAAUCCCCGAACAUAGAUUAGUUUACCAACGCAUAGCAUCCUGCAAAUCUAUGUUUUGGAGAAACUUCUCUGAACAUAGAUUAGUGAACUAGCGACGAUCUCAACUAGGGCUUCUAUUACGAGCAUCCCCUGAAAAUAAACGAGGGCUUAUAUUCGGGGAAAAACUGUAAUAGUUUUGUUUUUUUAUUCAGAUAGUAAUUUAACACCAAGACACUAGCACUAGCUAAACAGGGUUGAAAUGGGAAGAAAGGGAAAAGGAAAUAAGAUUAGGAAGGUGAAAUAGGCACAGAGGAAACCGGAGAAGGUAGAAAUGGUCUCAAAGAGAACUGAAUGCGCAUUUAGUACCUAAAGAACUGACCCAAAGUCCAGCAAGGGAUCAUGAAAGUCGCCCAUGAAAGUUGUCCAGCAAGGGAUGAUGAAAGAAUUCCAAGUGCAGCAAGGGAUCAUGAAAGUCGCACAAAUAUGGUUAGUAAGAAAAAAAAAAUUUAAAACAAAAAACCUUAUAGCAAAUUCUGUGUCUUUUU